AGUUGUGUUGUUGUUGUGAUGACGGAGUGGAUGUAGCGGCCGGAGAAUUGUCUGUACUGUAACUUUGUUACUCAGUGUUAGAUUAAUAAAUCCUCAAAGAAAGUAAAGCGGACUUUUAUUCACCAACCCCGGGACGAAGGGAAUUAACCCCAAAGUUUACUUAGCCGACAGUACUUUGGCCCUGGAGCAGACAGCAACGCCUCCCCCUGCAAACUCCGACUACGGUCAGAGACGGACCGGCAGGAAAGGUGAACACAAGGCUAACGAAGUUAAUUGUCAACAUUAAUGUGCCUGUCAUGGUAUGAGGCCAGACAUGGCCCGUGCAAAGUCAUGCCACCAGUCUGAGGACAUCACUGGGAAUGGCACAUGGGACACGUGGCUUUCAACUCCAGCGAGCACACGGCACAGGUUGGCGUCACCGUGGGCAAUCAUGGCAAAGUUGACUGGACCACAGCGGAAAAUGAUCCUUCCAGAGAAGAAGUUAUUUACUUCUACAAUGAAUGGAAGAGUUACAACUUCCAGAUGACAGCUCUCCGCUCAUCCUUCUGGGCAACUUAAACAUCCGACAGAACUUAUGUGACCCUACUGCGUUUUAUUUUCUCCUUUAGCUCUCAUUUAAGUAUUAAAAUUCGCUGUAUUUUUGCAAGAGAGGCACCAAUCCUAUUUGAGUGACGUUUCGAUUGUGAAAUUGUAUUGGACCAUAUAGGUCAUCUGCAGAGCGUUGGCCCCUGGCGCAGUAAACCAGGGUUUGAUUCUUGGCAUGCACAAGACUCCUCAUGUGACUUAAAAUGAAUCCAGAAUGCAAUAUUUGUUCAGUAUGCAACGGCAGUGAUUUAUUUAGUCAUGUUUGGUCAUGUUUUGGUUUUUUUACAUGACAAUAUGGUUUGGUACAUGCUGAGUUAAUGAAUAUACAUUCUAAAGUGCAAUGUCCAUAUGUGAAUAAGAGUUGUAUACGUUUAUCAUAGUCAAUAUGGUAUGGAAAUAUCCCUUAUGUAGUUGGUCAAUGGGAACUAUAGUAGGCCGUAAUAACAGCUAAGGUAAUUACAGGUGGAUAUUUCUGUGAAUUAACCUUAAAUGAGACUGCAUUUAUGAUAUCUAAGAUAUACAGAACAAGAAAAAUGCACUGGAUGUGUAUAUGUGUUGAAUCAAUUAUACAGACGCAAACUGGAGAACGAGACAAGUGUUGCUGUGAUACUUAUUGUGGUCAUCGUGCCCGAGACCCGUAACAAUUACUCCGCAGGUCUUUUGCAGCGGGGCAACAGCCCGGCGUCGGUGGAUUCCGUUCGCGAGGCCGCAGAUUCAGGUUUGAAUGGCAGCCCCGAGAGUGAUUUGUUUAGUCUCUUUAGUCUUUUUUGACCCGCGAGCCCGGCCGACCGCCGCCCCACCCCGACGCGCGAGAAUAGGCGAAGGCCCGUUCAUCGCUGCUUGCAGCUUUAAUUUUCUUCUUUUUUUUUCUUCCCCUCAACUCGUUCUACACUAAUCAGAGCUUUUCAUUUGUUAUGGCCCCGCGCCAGCCCCUCCACCGCUGCCUCCAUUAGGGCCAGAUAACGUAUAAAUUCAUUAAAGUCAAAGAGGGACGUUAAAAUGGUCAUUUGUCAGAUCUCCCUUUGUGAGUCCCUAAUGGUGGCACAUGGUUUCGAGGCAUUGAGAUGAUUCUGUUGGGGCUUUUCUUCCUCUCCAGUGCGUUCGGGAGGGGAACGUGGGAACUGGAGAACGGAGCACUUUCAAAUUCAAAUGGUAACACUAUAUUGUUUCAAUUAUUUAAUUGCGAACUUGCGUUGCUCUCUUAGAACAAAAGUCCAAACUAAACAAACCUGUUAUUUUGUUUUCACUUGUAUCCCAUCCUAUUGUUUUGAUGUGUUCUACAUUUUCAUUUCUUUUGUUUCUGCCUAAUUGGAAUGAAAUGUUUUAUUCUGGUGGCUAUCCAAUUCAUCCAUCAACUUCAGAGCCCCCCCCCCCCCCCCAACACACACAUACACACACAGACUCACAGUCAAUGAAGCAACCCUUUGCACUAAUCCCUUUGUAUUCACACCACCAUUCCCACCAAACAAUGUCCUAAAGCCUAAUCCUAAACCCAGCUCUACAGACCUGGGCCACCUGCUAGCAAGUCACAGUUUAGCUAAGAGCUAACGCCAACCUGAGCAACAAAACCGCCUGUUUAAAGACACCUAAGCGCACAUAACCAUGAAUACAAGGAGCAAAACAGGCAUGAAUAUGCAGCAAAAAUGUAUUUUCUCUCCUCCCAUGUUGCCCCCCCCCCCCCCCACCCCCCUCUCUGUUUCUCUCAUUCUCUGUUUCUGUGUCCAUCCUCCUCUGGCUUCAGGAUGGAGAUUCUGGCUGCGUCGUCAUGGGAGACGGCUCCCUCCAUCUGCCUCUGCUGUCAUUAGCCCAUCUUCACUAAGCUUUAUCAGGAGGGGGAACCCCCCCCAAAAUACCCCCCUCCCCCCCCCCCUCACCCUCCUGGACCCUCUUCACUAUUCUGACAACCCCUGCCCCCUGCUCCAUACAUAAGGCUGAGAUGAUAAGUGUUCCCUCUCUUUGUGUCGGGCCGGGACACGACAAUGCCACACAGCACUACAGAACAUCAUCCAUCUCGCGGGUCAUCAAUCUGGGACACAAAAGAUGAAAUGUAGCUCGAACUCCCUUUUUGCAAAGAGGUUUCUCUUUGCUUAGAGGAAGCUCGUCCUCCACCUCUCUCGAUCCUUUUCACUGCUGGAUUACUGGUUCACCAACAAGUUCUUCUGCUUUGCUUUGAAAAAUCCAAUUCAACGCAUUAAGAAGAUAAUAACAGGAAUUGCACAAGUAUCCAGACAUUAUUUCAACAUCCGCAGGGAUAGAUGAACUCUGUUUCAGUUUCUCUGCAGCAAAAAUAUGCAGCCGACGAGGAACGCCAGAUUGAAAACAGGAGGUGGACCUUCCAACAGGCCUCUGCCUGAUUUACGUGAAUGUAUUUGGUGGUAAAUUAAAUGCACUGUGAUACACAAACAGAUAGGAACAUCUACUGUUUCAUUGUAUUCAGGUGAAAUAAAUUACCUUGAUGACAGUGGUGCCCAUGACUUUAGUGUAAUCUGCCAUGAUGUCAUUGUCCCACUCAAUUUAGACCUAAAG